rnacentral:rRNA from 1 species
CUGCCUGUAAGACUGGGAUAACUUCGGGAAACCGGAGCUAAUACCGGAUAAUGCAUUUCCCCUCAUGGGGAUAUGCUGAAAGAUGGUUUCGGCUAUCACUUACAGAUGGGCCCGCGGCGCAUUAGCUAGUUGGUGAGGUAACGGCUCACCAAGGCAACGAUGCGUAGCCGACCUGAGAGGGUGAUCGGCCACACUGGGACUGAGACACGGCCCAGACUCCUACGGGAGGCAGCAGUGGUCA